UACGUAGGGGCCCAGCGUUGUCCGGAAUCAUUGGGCGUAAAGCGCGCGUAGGCGGCCAGACAAGUCCGGUGUGAAAGUCACAGGCUCAACCUGUGAAUGCCGCUGGAAACUGUCUGGCUAGAGUCCGGAAGGGGCGAGUGGAAUUCCUGGUGUAGCGGUGAAAUGCGCAGAUAUCAGGAAGAACACCCGUGGCGAAGGCGGGUCUCUGGGCCGAAACUGACGCUGAGGAGCGAAAGCGUGGGGAGCGAACAGG
rnacentral:rRNA from 1 species